CCGCUGAACUUAAGCAUAUCAAUAAGCGGAGGAA
rnacentral:rRNA from 1 species